rnacentral:tRNA from 1 species
GUUUUAAUAGUUUAGCUUAAAACAUUGAUCUUGUAAAUCAAAAUAGAAUAAUAUUCUUAAAACU